ACCAUUGUCUUAACUAUGACUGAGUUUCACUAUGGUGACUGCUGUGGGUUUUCUAAGGGUUUCCCUUUGUGCCUUGCAAAUUAUGAGUACACAUGGCUUCCCAACUAAAGACUCGGUAUCCCAAGAUGAGAGCAGCAGUGGUGCCCAUCCUAGUUCUCACCGGGGUGGAGCCAACGGCCGCCAUACACCCAAGUCUUAUGUCUCCAGGCCAGUACAGAUGAUUGGACAAGCUCCCAGUUU